GAACAUAUCACUGCAAGGCCAGUGUUUACAAUGCUGAAGCGAUUGUCGGAAAAUUUUUUGUCUGAUACCCUUCGAGACUUAGACCACCAACAGCUGCUAUCAAAACAGUCUAGAUUCUAACAAAAUAUACGCGACAGGUUAACGAAUUUCUCGUCCUCGCCAUCUAGCAACGAGUCAUAGAGUGAUAUGGAAGCAAAAGAGACGGCAGAGUGAGGUAUUGAAUUUUGCAGCAGCCCUCCUGCUUACAAAGUUAAACGCAUUAACAAGACCAGACCAAUUUUCGCACACCUAAGAGCUGCCCAAGAAAAAUAAAAAGACAUCAGGAGGCACAGAUUAACUAUUUACAGUCACGAGUUAUCCUACAAUCGUUGGACCGAUUGACGAAUUUCUGCGGUGAACAGUAUGUUAAUUCGUAAAGGAAGGCUUCGGUCGAUGUGAGGAUGCAGGAAAAGCGGUGUUGGUGGAUAUUGUUGGUUAACUUUAUAAUCAAUUCGCAGACUGCUCAACCCGGUAAGUAGAUAUCUAAAUACUCCAUUGUUUUAUAA